rnacentral:rRNA from 1 species
CCUACGGGAGACAGCAGUAGGGAAUAUUGCUCAAUGGGGGAAACCCUGAAGCAGCAACGCCGCGUGGAGGAUGAAGGUUUUCGGAUUGUAAACUCCUUUUGUUAGAGAAGAUAAUGACGGUAUCUAACGAAUAAGCACCGGCUAACUCCGUGCCAGCAGCCGCGGUAAUACGGAGGGUGCAAGCGUUACUCGGAAUCACUGGGCGUAAAGAGCGCGUAGGCGGGAUAGCAAGUCAGAUGUGAAAUCCUAUGGCUUAACCAUAGAACUGCAUUUGAAACUGUUAUUCUAGAGAAUGGGAGAGGUAGGCGGAAUUCUUGGUGUAGGGGUAAAAUCCGUAGAGAUCAAGAGGAAUACUCAUUGCGAAGGCGACCUGCUAGAACAUAACUGACGCUGAUGCGCGAAAGCGUGGGGAGCAAACAGGAUUAGAUACCCGAGUAGUC